rnacentral:misc_RNA from 1 species
GAAGUCUGAGAAAAUUGGAAAAACUGUUGGCGAAGGUGAGAGCUUGGCUUCAAGUCCCACUCCGGAUGAUGCUUCGGUGAUGAAGAAAAGGUGUGCUUGGGUGACCCCAAAUACUGAUCCAUCCUAUGCUGCUUUUCAUGACGAGGAAUGGGGAGUUUCAGUCCACGAUGACAAGAAGCUCUUUGAACUUCUCAGUUUAUGCACUGCAUUAGCUGAACUCUCAUGGCCGGCAAUUCUCAGUAAAAGACAUAUGUUUAGAGAAGUCUUUCAAAAUUUUGACCCAGUUGCAGUCUCAAAACUAAAUGAGAAGAAGAUAGCACCACCAGGAAGUCCU